rnacentral:rRNA from 1 species
UACGUAGGUGGCAAGCGUUGUCCGGAAUUAUUGGGCGUAAAGCGCGCGCAGGCGGUCCUUUAAGUCUGAUGUGAAAGCCCACGGCUCAACCGUGGAGGGUCAUUGGAAACUGGGGGACUUGAGUGCAGAAGAGGAUAGUGGAAUUCCAAGUGUAGCGGUGAAAUGCGUAGAGAUUUGGAGGAACACCAGUGGCGAAGGCGACUAUCUGGUCUGUAACUGACACUGAGGCGCGAAAGCGUGGGGAGCGAUCCGG